GAUGAAGAACGCAGCGAAAUGUGAUACUUGGUGUGAAUUGCAGAAUCCCGUGAACCAUCGAGUCUUUGAACGCAAGUUGCGCCCGAAGCCAUUAGGCCGAGGGCACGCCUGCCUGGGCGUCACACGUCGUUGCCCCCCCAUCUACUCCUUCGGGAUUGCGGGGGGCGGAUGAUGGCCUCCCGUGCGCCUCGCCGCGCGGUUGGCAUAAAUGCCAAGUCCUCGGCGACGCACGCCACGACAAUCGGUGGUUGCGAAACCUCGGUUGCCCGUCGUGUGCGGUCGUCGCGCAUCGAGGGCUCGAAAAAAUUGCCGGGUUCCGGCUCGGCUUUCAACGCGACCCCAGGUCAGGCGGGGUUACCCGCUGAAUUUAAGCAUAUCAAUAAGCGGAGGA
rnacentral:misc_RNA from 1 species